AGGAUGUCUUUCCGCUGUAGACGCUUAAAUAGGCCUUUCUCUGAAACUUUGCCUAUUUGAUCCUGAACCCCGAAGCAUGUCUCACACGGAACCGUUGAGAAAAUAAAGGUCAAGGUAUAGGUUUUUAAGAUCACUUAAAGAAAAAAAAGCGCAGCAUUUUUUUUUCGUCUAAACUUCUCGCCAUUACUCCCCUACGCGUGGAAUUCUGGGACUUGCCUCAAUUUGCAUAUGACUGAAUACUACUGUUUACUACGCUCUGGAGAAGACCCGGAUGUCACUGCAAACCAAGAUGGAGGGUAGUCCGAGCACACGUGGGUUGAAAGAGAGAGGAAUAACUCUACGGGACAAUGCAAAAGGAAAUUAAACGGGAAAUGCAGAAGCAGAGGAUGUUAUUUUCAUUGGCAGGCCAGUGAGGUAGACAAAGCAGAAGUAGGAACUAAAACUGACACGCGAGAAACUGACAAAAAUUCUGCCAGAUACGGGUAAUAUGCAUGUGGUAACAUCUACCCCCACAUCAGGUUCAAGGCCAGCCUUGUUCUAACCGUGCAACAUAGAGCCAGAGCCAAAGUAUACUAAGCAGCAAAGCAAGCACUCAAGAUCAUGGAUGACAGUAAGACCUCAAGCUGUUACAUAAACAAUUAGCACAAAUAAAGGUAUAUUCCAGUCUUACAAACCAGGAAUUUGACAUGGGAAUUACAAGUACACAUUUCU